UUUAUCUCUCACAGCUCCGGCUGAGGGCAGUUUUAAGGAUCUUGUGCUUGUUAGUACUGGUUCAAAACCAAUCGUGGUCACAUUCACUAUGUUUCCCAGGACCAGGAAUGAUUUCCUACAAUAUUCCCAUCAACUUACUCUGGAUGAAAACACAGUGAAUAAAUGGAUUCGUCUGUCUGAGAGGAACAAAGUGAUUACUGGUACUUACACAGAGCAGCCAUAUGCUGAUCAUCCUGACAGAUUCGAUUUUUGGGAGCAGGUGUUGUGUCGAGAGAGUGUGUGUGGACGCUGUUACUGGGAGCUGGAGUGGAGUGGGGAUAAUGGUGCAUCUUUAUCAGUGUCAUAUAAGAGCAUCAGCAGGAAGGGACGGGGAAAAGAGUGUCGGUUUG